GCCUAGGUGGCUUAGUCGGUUGAGCGUCUGACUUCGGCUCAGGUCAUGAUCUCACGGUCUGUGAGUUCGAGCCCCGCGUCAGGCU
rnacentral:tRNA from 1 species